rnacentral:rRNA from 1 species
CAGUAGCCGCGGUAAUACGGAGGGUGCAAGCGUUAAUCGGAAUUACUGGGCGUAAAGCGCACGCAGGCGGUUUGUUAAGUCAGAUGUGAAAUCCCCGAGCUUAACUUGGGAACUGCAUUUGAAACUGGCAAGCUAGAGUCUUGUAGAGGGGGGUAGAAUUCCAGGUGUAGCGGUGAAAUGCGUAGAGAUCUGGAGGAACACCGGUGGCGAAGGCGGCCCCCUGGACAAAGACUGACGCUCAGGUGCGAAAGCGUGGGGAGCAAACAGGAUUAGAUACCCCUGUAGUCCCUGUCUCUUAUAC